UACGGAGGAUCCGAGCGUUAUCCGGAUUUAUUGGGUUUAAAGGGUGCGUAGGUGGCUUAUUAAGUCAGGGGUGAAAGACGGUAGCUUAACUAUCGCAGUGCCUUUGAUACUGAUGAGCUUGAAUAUACUAGAGGUAGGCGGAAUGUGACAAGUAGCGGUGAAAUGCAUUGAUAUGUCACAGAACACCAAUUGCGAAGGCAGCUUACUAUGGUAUGAUUGACACUGAGGCACGAAAGCGUGGGGAUCAAACAGG
rnacentral:rRNA from 1 species